rnacentral:rRNA from 1 species
GACAGAGGCCUCAAGCGUUAGGCGGAAUCACUGGGCUUAAAGCGUGUGUAGGCGGAUCGUUAAGUGUCUUGUGAAAUCCCACGGCUCACCCGUGGAACUGCUGGGCAUACUGGGCGUCUUGGGCCAACUAGGGGCAGCCGGAACAAGCGGUGGAGCGGUGAAAUGCGUAGAUAUCGCUUGGAACGCCGAAGGUGAAAACAGGCUGCUGGGGUUGCGCCGACGCUGAGACACGAAAGCCAGGGGAGCAAACGGG